rnacentral:rRNA from 1 species
GAUGAACGCUGGCGGCGUGCCUAAUACAUGCAAGUCGAGCGAACGGACGAGAAGCUUGCUUCUCUGAUGUUAGCGGCGGACGGGUGAGUAACACGUGGAUAACCUACCUAUAAGACUGGGAUAACUUCGGGAAACCGGAGCUAAUACCGGAUAAUAUUUUGAACCGCAUGGUUCAAAAGUGAAAGACGGUCUUGCUGUCACUUAUAGAUGGAUCCGCGCUGCAUUAGCUAGUUGGUAAGGUAACGGCUUACCAAGGCAACGAUGCAUAGCCGACCUGAGAGGGUGAUCGCCCACACGGGAGCUGAGACACCGUCCAGACUCCUACGGGAGGCAGCAGUAGGGAAUCUUCCGCAAUGGGCGAAAGCCUGACGGAGCAGCGCCGCGUGAGUGAUGAAGGUCUUCGGAUCGUAAAACUCUGUUAUUAGGGAAGAACAUAUGUGUAAGUAACUGUGCACAUCUUGACGGUACCUAAUCAGAAAGCCACGGCUAACUACGUG